UGCGCAAAGCUAGAGGCGAUAUCGUAGCCAGUGAGGUUAAUCCGAGGCGCGAUUAUUGCUAGUUGAAAACUAUUCCUAAAAUUUGAAAGUAACAGCCCAAUUGGAGGAUCAAUGAAUGAAGAUCCUGUACUGGG